AGCCGUCCUUGAAAUACCACCCUUGUAGUGUUGAUGUUCUAACGUCGACCCCUUAUCGGGGUUGCGGACAGUGCCUGGUGGGUAGUUUGACUGGGGCGGUCUCCUCCCAAAGCGUAACGGAGGAGCACGAAGGUGGGCUAAUCACGGUUGGACAUCGUGAGGUUAGUGCAAUGGCAUAAGCCCGCUUGACUGCGAGAAUGACAAUUCGAGCAGGUGCGAAAGCAGGUCAUAGUGAUCCGGUGGUUCUGAAUGGAAGGGCCAUCGCUCAACGGAUAAAAGGUACUCCGGGGAUAACAGGCUGAUACCGCCCAAGAGUUCAUAUCGACGGCGGUGUUUGGCACCUCGAUGUCGGCUCAUCACAUCCUGGGGCUGAAGUCGGUCCCAAGGGUAUGGCUGUUCGCCAUUUAAAGUGGUACGCGAGCUGGGUUUAGAACGUCGUGAGACAGUUCGGUCCCUAUCUGCCGUGGGCGUUGGAGAAUUGAAAGGGGCUGCUCCUAGUACGAGAGGACCGGAGUGGACGAACCUCUGGUGUUCGGGUUGUGUCGCCAGACGCAUUGCCCGGUAGCUAAGUUCGGGAUCGAUAACCGCUGAAAGCAUCUAAGCGGGAAGCGAGCCUUGAGAUGAGUUCUCCCUGAUACUUUAAGUAUCCUAAAGGGUUGUCGUAGACUACGACGUUGAUAGGCAGGGUGUGUAAGCGUUGUGAGGCGUUGAGCUAACCUGUACUAAUUGCCCGUGAGGCUUAACCAU
rnacentral:rRNA from 2 species